GACGAACGCUGGCGGCGUGCUUAACACAUGCAAGUCGAACGGAAAGAGCCUGCUUUUGUGUGGUUUCCGCGUGGCGAACGUGUGUGAUACCUGUGAAUAUCCUUGCCUUUGCUUUGUGAUAACCUCAGGCAACUGGUGCUAAUACCUGCUUCGUGCUUCUGCUGCUUGGUGGUGGUUGGAAAUCUUCGGCGGUUGGGGAUGGACUCGCGGCUUACUAGCUUGUUGGUGGGGUAGUGGCUUACCAAGGCUUUGACGGGUAGCCGGCCUGAGAGGGUGAACGGCCACAUUGGGACUGAGAUACGGCCCAGACUCCUACGGGAGGCAGCAGUGGGGAAUAUUGCACAAUGGGCGGAAGCCUGAUGCAGCAACGCCGCGUGCGGGAUGACGGCCUUCGGGUUGUAAACCGCUUUAGCCUGUGACGAAGCGGGAGUGACGGUAAUGGGUAAAGAAGCACCGGCUAACUACGUG
rnacentral:rRNA from 1 species